GUUAAAAGCUCUCUGUUAUGUCAGCCCGGAUGCAGCUAUAGUUAGUACUUGGAUGGGAGACCACCAGGAAAUCACAGGGCUUUAGGCU
rnacentral:rRNA from 1 species